rnacentral:tRNA from 1 species
AGGAGUGUAGCUUAGCUGGUAAAUUACUUGCCUAGCAUGCACAAGGUCCUGGGUUCAAACCCCAGCACUGCAU